rnacentral:lncRNA from 1 species
GGGGAAUCACUCUAAGGACAGGGCUGGAGUGAAUCACUCUAAGGACAGGGCUGGGGUGAAUCACUCUAAGGACAGGGCUGGGGUGAAUCACCGUAAGGACAGGACUGGGGUGAAUCAUUCUAACGACAGGGCUGGGGGUGAAUCACUCUAAGGACAGGGCUGGGGGUGAAUCACUCUAAGGACAGGACUGGGGUGAAUCACUCUAAGGAAAGGGCUGGGAGUGAAUCACUCAAAGGACAGGGCUAGGGGUGAAUCACUCUAAGGACAGGGCUGUGGUGAAUCACUCUAGGGACAGGGCUGGGGGUGAAUCACUGUAAGGACAGGACUGGGGUGAAUCACUCUAAGGACAGGGCUGGGGGUGAAUCACUCUAAGGACAGGGCUAGGGGUGAAUCACUCUAAGGACAGGGCUGGGGUGAAUCACUCUAAGGAAAGGGCUGGGAGUGAAUCACUCAAAGGACAGGGCUAGGGGUGAAUCACUCUAAGGACAGGGCUGUGGUGAAUCACUCUAAGGACAGGGCUGGGGGUGAAUCACUCUAAGGACAGGGCUGUGGUGAAUCACUCUAAGGACAGGGCUGGGGGUGAAUCACUGUAAGGACAGGGCUGUGGUGAAUCACUCUAAGGACAGGGCUGGGGGUGAAUCACUCUAAGGACAGGGCUGUGGUGAAUCACUCUAAGGACAGGGCUGGGGGUGAAUCACUCUAAGGACAGGGCUGGGGUGAAUCACUCUAAGGACAGGAGUGGGGUGAAUCACUCUAAGGACAGGAGUGGGGUGAAUCACUCUAAGGAGAGGGCUGGGGUGAAUCACUCUAAGGACAGGGCUGUGGGUGAAUCACUCUAAGUACAGGGCUGGGGUGAAUCACUCUAAGGACAGGGCUGGGGUGAAUCACUC